UAGAUAAAGCAGAACUAUAUAAUUAUAAUACUUAGUAAAUAUUGAAUUACAAUCUCUGUGGGUUCGACACUCUUAGCUAAUUUACUAUAUUACAAAACUUGACAUUGUACACUUGCGGUAUAAAUCACUUUAUAGAAAACACGUGGCAAAAGUCUAGCAUAAAUUAAAUCAAAAGACACCCUCUCUGGAAAACACUUCAUAGGUAUAACAACACACAUCCCUCUUGGGGUUAUGUUUGGUCGAGUGUCAUGUUGGAAUUAUCCAUUACUCAAACUAAGCCAUUUCAUUUUCUUUAUAUCUCAAGUAUUCUAGCCUACAAAUAAACAGUCGAUCUAAGGCUUCAAAGAUUGAGCCUAACUCUUCUUGUAGGAUUGUAAUGGUCUAUAAUACAAUUUCUAAUGCUAAGAAGCACCAGAAGAGGCAAUAGUAGAGCAUACUCAUGUAACUACUCGAAUAGUUGAUUAGCAUGACUUAUAUAAGACUAAUAAUAGAAUUCUAAAUGCUAGUGAGAAAACAGAGAGAUUUAGAAACUCGUGUAGGGAUGGUAGUGGUGUGGGUUUUGGGCGGGGUAGUGGCUUGCCCCAUUUGUUUCUCAAUUUGUUUGUUUUUUAAUAUUUAUAUUUUAAAAAAUUUCUUUUUCAAUAACAUUAAAUAAUCCUCUUUGUUGGGGAAAAGAUGGGAUCGAAUAAAUGGAGCACAAGCCCUAAGACUUCUUCCUAAGGGUACUAAGCUGAAGGUAAUACUCUUGACUAGCACAUUAUAUACAGCAGUAUGAAAUAUGUUUCUACUUGCAUCUUUUAGGUUUUCUAUGUUCAUUGGGACGAAUGAGAAAUGUAAUACAUUUUUGUUUGGAAUCUCUCUCUUGGCAAAAACUGCUUCUUCCCGAUAGUAAAUGCUUAUUGAACUUUUCCAUCAUGGAAAAAAAUUCCUUCAACUUUUCCAUCAUGGAAAAAAAUUCCUUCUGUGUUCUCUGCAGAACUUGCUUCCUUUUCUUGGACCGCUUUUAAGAAAUGCUAGUGAAGCAUAUCGGAACUUUUUAGUGAUAAAGAGCUUGAGAGAGAGUGAAAACCUACACGGAACUUGCUUAUCCAAAAAUAGCUUCUCUUGGGCUAAUUUUUGAGAAAAUCUUUUAAUUUGUCACGGGACAAAUUCGAGGCUCAAAGUUCGGGCAGGGCUGAUUAUUUUGCCAGUUCUAAACUCAUGAGAUUAUAAAACUGAAGAGUUUCUUUUUGUUUUUUUGAUGAUCUUACAAUGGAGGAGGAAUGCUCCUAAUAUAGAGGAGGG
rnacentral:lncRNA from 1 species